CAUACAGGUAUCUUGUUCAUUAUAAAUAUCCUCUUUAUGUUUGUUAUGUAAAAUGUACCGUAAACGUAAGAUGAUGAGUUUAGUUAAUGAAUUUAAUUAAUAUAUGAACUGCAGUAACAUUGAGUUAGACUUUCUUUAAUCCAGUGAUUUCAAUAAGAAGCUAAAGGCUAAACCUCUGACCCACAGCAGGUUUGCAGGUGAAGCUCUACUCUUCACUAGUUUAAAUACUCAAUUAGAUCCAGGUGAAAGAAAACUGUUUAACAAAAACAUGCAUAAAAAUAUAGAACAGAGAUGGUAUUUUUCUUAGACUGGAAUAUUUAACUGGACGAUAAAUGGACAGACGUCAGGAGUCAGAGAUUGACAAAUGAAAACAUCACGUCUGAAAGAAAUAGACGGAGAAGAGAACAAGAAUAUCAUCAUGUACAGCAGAGACGACAGAGUGACUGUGGCCAACAAAUCUGCUCUCAGGAGAAAAGGGAGUAAUACAGGAGAACAUCCUAACAUUAGCGAUGUGAGGAUUGUUCUGCUGGGGAAGAACGUGUCAGAAAACAGCCGAGUGGGAAACUUCCUAUUGGGACGUGAAGCGUUUGACAGUGAAGCUCGUCCAGAUGUUGUAGAGAGAGUCGGAGGAAGAUUAAAGGACAGACACGUGACCGUCAUCAACAGUCCUCAGCUGCUCCAGACACAUCUGUCACUCCAUCACAUCAUACAGACAGUGAGAGAGUGUGUGUAUCUGUCUGAUCCAGGACCUCAUGUGAUUGUUUUGCUCCUCAAACAUGAGGAGUGUUCAGCAGAAGAUCAAGAGUGUGUGGAGAAGGUGCUGGACUCUUUCUCUGAGCGCGCUUAUCAACACACCAUGGUGCUCACCACACAAGAGCCCACUGAAACCAAUGACAUCCUACAGAAAAUCAUUCCGAAAUGCUUCAGCAGACACUUCAGUCUUCAGAGAAGCAGCUCUCCUGAUGAUCUUCUGCAGGCGUUUGAGGACAUUGUGAAAAUUAAUGAUGGACGUCACCUGGUUUGUGCUGAAUAUGAAGCUUCACAGUAUUUCACAAUGAAGCAAC